GAUGAACGCUGGCGGCGUGCCUAAUACAUGCAAGUCGAGCGAACGGACGAGAAGCUUGCUUCUCUGAUGUUAGCGGCGGACGGGUGAGUAACACGUGGAUAACCUACCUAUAAGACUGGGAUAACUUCGGGAAACCGGAGCUAAUACCGGAUAAUAUUUUGAACCGCAUGGUUCAAAAGUGAAAGACGGUCUUGCUGUCACUUAUAGAUGGAUCCGCGCUGCAUUAGCUAGUUGGUAAGGUAACGGCUUACCAAGGCAACGAUGCAAAGCCGACCUGAGAGGGUGAUCGGCCACACUGGAACGGAGACACGGUCCAGACUCCUACGGGAGGCAGCAGUGGGGAAUCUUCCGCAAUGGGCGAAAGCCUGACGGAGCAACGCCGCGUGAGUGAUGAAGGUCUACGGAUCGUAAAACUCUGUUAUUAGGGAAGAACAUAUGUUUAAGUAACUGUGAACAUCUUGACGGUACCUAAUCAGAAAGCCACGGCUAACUACGUG
rnacentral:rRNA from 1 species